UGGACAGUUUACUGUAUUCACAGCGUGAAAUGGGAGAUUACACUGUUUUUAAAAGGGAAAGUGAAUCAAUUAACAUAAUAGACUCCU
rnacentral:pre_miRNA from 1 species